rnacentral:rRNA from 1 species
UACGGGGGGGGCAAGCGUUGUUCGGAAUUACUGGGCGUAAAGGGCUCGUAGGCGGCCAACUAAGUCAGACGUGAAAUCCCUCGGCUUAACCGGGGAACUGCGUCUGAUACUGGAUGGCUUGAGUUUGGGAGAGGGAUGCGGAAUUCCAGGUGUAGCGGUGAAAUGCGUAGAUAUCAGGAAGAACACCGGUGGCGAAGGCGGCUCGCUGGAUCGGUACUGACGCUGAGGUGCGAAAGCGUGGGGAGCAAACAGG